rnacentral:lncRNA from 1 species
CCUAGUUUGUAUAAUUUGGAAUAAAUAGUUAUAUGACCCUUAAUCUUGAAUCUCUUCAUCUUGGACAUCUUCUUUUUCUUCUUCUUCAAUAUCAUCCAAAGUUUUCGUAAGUAUGGGACUUCAUUUUUUAUUUUAUUUUAUUUUAAUUUUUGCUUGUAAUAAUUUAAUACUCUUUAUGUGGAAUUCCUCUUCAGUGAUAUUCUAUUUUGUGAUAUGGAAUACCCCUUUGUUUAACCUAGAGUAAUCCUAUUUAGAGUCUUAAAUAUGUCGUAGAAGUCCUUUGAAAAUUGAACCUUGAGAUAGGGCUGACCCUGAGAAUUUUGAGGUCCUAAGCGGCUAUUUAUUAUGAGGCCCCAAUUCAUCUAGCUAAUUCUCCUGGUUGCUUAGGGCCCAAUCCACCGGGCAAAGUGCAAACCAACUCCCCAACCCAACGCCUUUCACUCUACUCAACACGUAGACAACAUAUGAUGCUUCCAUGAAUCUAUUCCCAUUCUCCAUGAACAACACAAUUUAGCCCAUCAAAUGCUCUUUUGCAUCCGACUUUCACCUUUUCCAGUUAUUAAAAUUUAAGCCAAAAAAAAAAAAAAA